AACGAACGCUGGCGGCAGGCUUAACACAUGCAAGUCGAGCGCCCCGCAAGGGGAGCGGCAGACGGGUGAGUAACGCGUGGGAACGUACCCUUUGCUACGGAAUAGCUCCGGGAAACUGGAAUUAAUACCGUAUGUGCCCUUCGGGGGAAAGAUUUAUCGGCAAAGGAUCGGCCCGCGUUGGAUUAGCUAGUUGGUGGGGUAAAGGCCUACCAAGGCGACGAUCCAUAGCUGGUCUGAGAGGAUGAUCAGCCACAUUGGGACUGAGACGCGGCCCAAACUCCUACGGGAGGAAGCAGUGGGGAAUAUUGGACAAUGGGCGCAAGCCUGAUCCAGCCAUGCCGCGUGAGUGAUGAAGGCCUUAGGGUUGUAAAGCUCUUUCACCGGUGAAGAUAAUGACGGUAACCGGAGAAGAAGCCCCGGCUAACUUCGUGCCAGCAGCCGCGGUAAUAC
rnacentral:rRNA from 1 species